GGGGAAUAUUGCACAAUGGGCGCAAGCCUGAUGCAGCGACGCCGCGUGAGGGAUGACGGCCUUCGGGUUGUAAACCUCUUUCAGCACAGACGAAGCGCAAGUGACGGUAUGUGCAGAAGAAGGACCGGCCAACUACGUGCCAGCAGCCGCGGUAAUACGUAGGGUCCGAGCGUUGUCCGGAAUUACUGGGCGUAAAGAGCUCGUAGGUGGUUUGUCGCGUUGUCCGUGAAAACUCACAGCUCAACUGUGGGCGUGCGGGCGAUACGGGCAGACUGGAGUACUGCAGGGGAGACUGGAAUUCCUGGUGUAGCGGUGGAAUGCGCAGAUAUCAGGAGGAACACCGGUGGCGAAGGCGGGUCUCUGGGCAGUAACUGACGCUGAGGAGCGAAAGCGUGGGGAGCGAAC
rnacentral:rRNA from 1 species